GAUGAACGCUGGCGGCGUGCUUAACACAUGCAAGUCGAACGAAGCAUUUGCGACAGAUUUUUUCGGAAUGAAGUUGCUUAUGACUGAGUGGCGGACGGGUGAGUAACGCGUGGGUAACCUGCCUUGUACUGGGGGAUAGCAGCUGGAAACGGCUGGUAAUACCGCAUAAGCGCACAAUGUUGCAUGACAUGGUGUGAAAAACUCCGGUGGUAUAAGAUGGACCCGCGUCUGAUUAGCUAGUUGGUGAGAUAACAGCCCACCAAGGCGACGAUCAGUAGCCGACCGGAGAGGGGGACCGGCCACAUUGGGACUGAGACACAGACCAGACUCCUACGGGAGGCAGCAGUGGGGAAUAUUGCACAAUGGAGGAAACUCUGAUGCAGCGACGCCGCGUGAGUGAAGAAGUAAGUCGUUAUGUAAAGCUCUAUCAGCAGGGAAGAUAGUGACGGUACCUGACUAAGAAGCACCGGCUAAAUACGUG
rnacentral:rRNA from 1 species